UCAGGAGAUAUGAAAAAUGCAUAUUUUUGCUUAUAACUUCUGAAUGGUUUGGCCAAAAAUAACAAAACUGGUCUCUUUAGAUUGAGUGGGUCAUGCCGAGUCGAAUGAUAUCCAAUUUUCACGUGUCGGCCAUUUUAGGUGUCGGCCAUUUUGAAUUAUGUUUCAAAAUGCUGUAUUUUUUGAACGCAUUAUCGUAUCGUUACGAAAAUAAUUACAAAAAUGUUUGGCUCCAUGCCCUGAAGCUACUCAAAAAGUUUGGUGGCAGCGCCACCUUGUGGUCAAAAGUUAUAAUGAAAUAUCUUAAAAAUGCUAAUAACUUUUGAAAAAAUUAGACUAUUGCAAUGAAAGUCAUGUCUCUAUAUUCUUUGGGUCAUG
ensembl:lncRNA